rnacentral:lncRNA from 1 species
CCUGUUUAGUGUAUAGUCAGAAUGUAGCAGAACUCAUCCUGACUACUUGCACAUGAAACCAGGACAGUUUCAGGUGCCAAUGACUAGCUACCAAAGUGCUGUCAUAAACUACUUCUUGACAAGUAUUUGUUAUUCUUUGUAAAAGUGAAGGUAAAAUAUUAAGGUUAUUUGCAAAUCAGUAAUGUUGUGAUAGAGGACAUCUUGUGUACAUUAUUUGUAUAUUGAUAAACAUUGAUAAGAUUCAAACAAUUUCCUUUCUUUAUUCUAACUUUCCCUUAUGUACAAAGCCAUGUAUAUAAUGGUAUCAUAGUAAACAUUCCCAAAGCAUGCAUAGAAAAUUGCAUAAACUAAGUACUAUAAAUGAAUCAACAUUUGUAACAUGUCCUCUCAAUAUUAAUGAAAGCUUCUAAUGCUGUAUUAAAUUAUGCAUCUAUAAAGUUUAGUCUGCAACCUGAACCCUUCAUUUGGCAAGCAGUGCAAAAACGUAUACUGUUUACUAGGUUUAUUUAGUCCUUAGAAGAACUUUGUAUUAAAGCCUUGAUUUUUACUUAAGGCCUCGACUCUUGAAGCGCUUAGUUUUGAAAAGGAAUGUAUAAAUAUUAUGCAAUUUUGUGUAUCUACAAAAAAAUUACUGAAUUAAAGGACAUUUAACUUUUCAACAAUUUCCUAGUAAACAGUACACAUUUUUAUCAAUAUCCUCAUUACAAGCAAACACUAUAUAUUACUACAUGUACAUAACAAUCAGGGUUAAUAUUAAUUACACAAUGGCACAAAAACAAAUGUAGAAAGAACACAUAUGGUGAGAUCAAAUCAAGUAUCAGUCAUCUUUAAAAUCUGACAAUUUUAUCAUAUCUCAGCAAGAAUAUAAGCAAUUCCAUGUGUACAAAAUAAAGAUUAAACUUCAGGAGUAAAUUAAAAUUCUAUAUUUUUAAAUGUAGUUCAAAAAUCUUUUUUCCAGCACUAUUUGCUAGAUAAACAAUUAAAUCAACAUAUAUUUUAGUGAUAGAUUUUAUUG